rnacentral:lncRNA from 1 species
GUGUGUCUUGUCCAUGUGAAACCUGCACCGAAUUUCGAGAGAAUUUAAUUAACCACAAGGCCUAGCACACGGGUGUGUGGCAUGGUCGUGUGCACAAGUCAAUGAGUAACACGAGGUCGAACACGACUUGUAGCAUGGGCAUGUCCCAAGGUCACGCGGGCGUGUCCCUUGGACCACACGGGCGUGUGUGCCUGUAACUUGGAA